GUUCUGGUAUUUGCAGGAAAUUCAUGGCUGCGACAUAGCUCUGGGAAAAGCAAAGUCAUAUUAGUAGCUGAUAUUUAGUUGUAGGGAAAGAGGUAUAAGAGCGCAAUUUAAGAAUAUCCCUUCUGUCAUUUUGCAUCUCCAUUUUCUUUUAUGACAAUCUCCUGCUAAUAUUCAGUCAUCUGCAAAGAGACGUCCCGUUGCAUCCAAGGACUUCAUCUCUUCGUUGAAAAGACUGAUUAGGCUUUUUUUGGGAGGCAAUCAAUCUCUACAGUUUGGCCACAAUCUGUUUGAGGACUGAGGACAGGAUGAGCCCCAUUUAUUAAGGAAUGACUUCUGAACCAACUUGAUUUUCCAUUUUAGAGGAACGCAAGAGGACCAUACCAGUUGUUUCUGACUAUCUAGCUCAAGUCAAGAUAUGCAACUACAACUAGUUUUUGUUUGUUUGUUAGUUUGUUUUGUCUGCAUAUAAUGCAUUCAGUUCCUGUUUCAUCAUAGCCUUCUUGAUUAUUUUCUUUAAUUAUGUAUAUAUGUUUGGUUCUAUUUUCCAGGCGUGCCCAAACUUUGUUACUGACUUGGUCUUACCACUCACUAGAACCACUCACUUCUGCUUCCCAGCUUUGAUUACAGUUCACAAGAUGCUGUGUAUACUCUGUUUUUUAAUGUUCAUUUGUUCUGAGGACAAUUAUUACAGACAUUACUGGGAUGGAUGGGGAAUGUCAAAAAUUAAAAGUCCAAAUGUAGUCACCAGUGUCCUUAUUAGUAGAAGAGGUGUGAUUUAAAUCUGUACCCACAAUUCAUAGCCAGAGGAAUUAGGAAUGAUAAUAAUAAAUCUGGGUUUUGCAUGG